GCCUCUGUGGCGCAAUUGGCUAGCGCAUGCGACUUGUUAGUACCCGAAAAGCCCCAAUUAAUAUUGUCCACAAAUGCUAAUCCAUCUUACAGCUAUGAAACAUCGUUUGAAAUCGCAAGGUUGCGGGUUCGACCCCCGCCAGAGGUU
rnacentral:tRNA from 1 species